ACUGAAUAACAGGUAUUCCAGGUGAUGGUUCGAUUACGAAUUCAGAAUGCCUCCAGGAUAACUACUCAAAUAUGAGUAACCGAACCUUGUGUGGUUCCAGGCAGGAUAAGGGGGAGAUGGUUGAACGAUGAUUGAAUAAUUUUCAUGCAUCAUAACAUGAGCAGGUAGGAUAAGGAGUAGGAACGUGCGACAACUUCCACCUGAGACCCCGGAUGUGCACCCGGUGUGGAUGCCCGAGAUACCUGAGGUGGCACGUAAGACCAUGAGUGGCAGUGCAAUUCGAAAACGCUAAAAGGGUAUUCAGACUCGGUAAAGAGUGGGCCGGUGGCGCCAUAUUCCCGAGUGACGUUCCGAAGUGAGAGGCUUUGAGGAGCCAAUGGGCCCAGCAAUCAUAUGUGAUAUGUGUUGGUUGAUACGGUGGCAUGCAUAGCAUAAACUCAUAUUUGCUUAUGUAAUUUGUCUGUGAUUGUGUGUGGUUGCAGGAUGAUGAUUGAUUGCUAACCGAAUAUAAUUAUUUGCCUUACUUCUGAUUGAUAUAUUAUAUAUGAUUUAUAUCUAAGUCGUUCUGUAGCUCACCCUUACGCUUUAUUUUUCUAGAUAACACAGAGAUAGCUGAGGGAGAUGGACCUUCCAGUUGAGAUGAUACUGGCGGACUUUUCCUCGCCGGAGGGAUGGUAUAUUGACCCUCACACCGGUAUCUGUACAUAUGUAGGGAUGUCGACGUUCAAGUAUCGCCAUCCCGAUAGCCCUGUACCUGGUUACCCAGUUUCUUUUCCUCGGAUGUUCAGUUUCAUCAUGCCCCCACACUUCCUAGCUCAGGAGAUCUUGGAGGAGCCUCCGCUACCACCUAUGCCGAACUUCGCCGCUCCUUUGGCAGCUGUACCACCACCACGGGAGCCUCAGCCUGACAUGCCCGUGGAGAAUGGGCAUGUGAAGGAGGUACCCGGUACGGACACGAGGAGGAGGAGGAGAGAGGGACGUCCCCGUAGGUGGGAUGUGGGGCCUAACGACUAGAGGAGGAGCUAGUGAUGGUGUCUGUUGAUAUCUUGUGUUUUGUCUUUUUGUUCUCUGAUGAUGAUGUACUCUUAUGACCACUGAGCUAUUUUGUAGUACCCUUGUAUGAUGAGCUCAGUUUAAUAGGACUCUGAUGACAGCCGUGCGGUUUGGCUUAGUGAUGUAUGUUUUGGGUGGCGGCAGACUCUGCGAUAUAGUCGCUGCGAUGAUGUGUACUUGUUGUGAUGUAUAUAUUUGUGUAGGAGUGUGUUAUCCCAAACCUAAGUAUUACCACUUACGUUUUAUUGUUCCGCUACGCUUAUUAAUUCAGGUUUUGGAAGUCAACGCUUAGGUGAAAGUCACACGCUUGGUGUCGAGUAGCAGAGUAGCACCUAAGAGGAUAAUCGAGAUAGGAAGAUAACAGAAUAAAAUAAAAUAAAAUAAAAGUACACCACGAGAGGGUGACGACGUAUUAACAUUACAACGUGGGGACUCUCUCUCAAAAGCAGAGUGCUUGGAGUUGCGCCCCCACAGGUUUGGUAUCAGAGCUUCAAGUUCCUCAACUGUGGAACUCAGGAACUCUACGGAAGACUAACUUUAUUCGUAUGCUUUGAUGAUUGAUGUGUUUGAUUACCUGUUAUGUAUACUUGAUUAUUUGCUAUGAAUUUAUUUGUGUAUGAUUGUUUACUAAUUUAGUUGCAUUUCAGGAAAAUGGAUAACGACAUGGCGGAAGCUUUACGCCAACUGACUAAUUUCUUAGCUAAUCAGGCUGCCAGAGCCGAACAACAGAAUCAACCAGCAGAGGAUGAUGUAUACAAAGGAAUUGACAAAUUCCUUAAGCGAAAUCCACCUCUAUUUGAUGGAGGUUAUGACCCUGAAGGCGCCAACCGCUGGCUUCGUAAAAUUGAACAGAUCUAUGAGUCCUUGCCUACAAGUGAGGACCGGAUGAUAGCUUAUGCUUCUUACUUGUUUCACGAAGAAGCUAGGAACUGGUGGGUACACGCCAAAAGCAGAAUCACUCCACCUGAUGGAGUCUUGACUUGGAGCAUCUUCAAGGAGGCAUUCCUUGAAAAAUACUUUCCUGCUGAUGUAAAAGGCAAAAAGGAGACCGAGUUCUUGGAGCUCAAACAAGGAGAGAUGUUUGUGGGACAAUAUGCGGCUCGCUUUGAAGAAUUGAGUCAAUUUCAUCCUUACUAUGGUACAACAGCUGACGACGCCUCCAAAUGCAUUCGUUUUGAGUGCGGUUUGAGGCCUGACAUCAGGGCAGCAAUAGGACAUCAGCAAAUCCGCACUUUUACUGUGCUGGUGGAAAAAUGCAGGAUAUUUGAAGAAAAUGAUCGAGCUCGGAGGGAGUACUACAAAAGCUCAAAAUUCAACAAGACUUCUAAGAGGAGAGAAGAACGAAAGAAGCCUUAUUCACCUAGGAACUACAAACCGGAACUUCAAAACAGGAACUAUGGUGGUGCAAGACCAACAAAUCCUAACAGCCAUGUGACUUGUUAUCGGUGUGGAAAGGAAGGACACAAAUCUUGGAGUUGUACUGCAACAACUACAUCAGGACAGACUAACUUGAAGCCACCCGUUGUUGGAGGUACCAACACCACUUCUGCACCAAGAAACUCAGCUGGAGCAAGUGCUCAGAAACCUGGGAGACCCGUGAACAAGGGUAAAGUUUUUGCAAUGACCGGCGCAGAGGCCAAUACUUCUGAAGAUUUUAUACAGGGUACGUGUUUCCUCUGCGACAUCUCUUUAGUAGUUUUGUACGAUUCAGGUGCGACACAUUCCUUCAUAUCACAUGAGCGGGCUAAGUCGCUAAAAUUGGUUAUAACACAAUUACCUUAUGACUUAGUAGUAACCACUCCUACCAAGGAAUCCGCAGUCACGUCUUCUGUAUGUAAGAAGUGUCCCUUGGUGAUAGAGGACAGGGAAUACAUUACUAAUCUUGUCUGUCUACCUUUAGAAGGUCUAGACAUUAUUCUGGGCAUGAACUGGCUUUCCAUCAAUAAUGUAUUGUUGGAUUGUCGGCUAAGAGUCCCUAUAUUCCUCCAAAAGUACAAGGAGAAGCAUACCGCCUCUUUACCUGAGAAGGAACCCUCAGCAUACUUAAUUCUCUUCUCUUCAGAAGGAACCAAGCGACCAGCCAUGGAAGACAUUCCCGUUGUACGAGAAUUUCCAGAAGUUUUUCCUGAAGAUAUGACAGAACUUCCACCAGAACGGGAAGUGGAGUUUGCUAUUGAUGUGAUUCCUGGAACAACACCAAUUUCUGCAGCACCUUAUCGCAUUUCACCCUUGGAGCUUGCUGAACUACAGAAACAAGUUGAAGAGUUAUUGUCCAAAGGGUUCAUCCGUCCCAGUGUAUCGCCAUGGGGAGCUCCGGUAUUGCUUGUGAAGAAGAAGGAUGGAAGCAUGCGUUUGUGUGUUGACUAUCGUCAACUCAAUAAGGUUACUAUUAAAAAUAGGUACCCUUUACCUCGGAUCGAUGAUCUCAUGGAUCAAUUGAAGGGAGCCAGAGUCUUCUCCAAAAUUGAUUUGCGGUCCGGUUACCACCAAAUCAGAGUUAAAUCAGACGACGUGCAGAAGACAGCCUUUCGGACUCGGUACGGGCACUAUGAAUAUUUGGUGAUGCCGUUCGGGGUGACCAACGCUCCUGCAAUUUUCAUGGAUUAUAUGAACAGGAUCUUCCAUCCCUACCUAGAUAAGUUUGUGAUAGUCUUUAUAGACGACAUACUUAUCUAUUCCAAAAGCAAGGAAGAGCAUGUUGAACAUAUGCAGGUCGUAUUGAAGGUCUUGAAGGAUCGGAAGUUGUAUGCCAAACUCUCAAAAUGUGAGUUCUGGCUAGAGCAAGUUCAAUUUCUGGGACAUGUUGUGAGCGAAGACGGAAUCGCUGUAGACCCUGCCAAAGUAGAAGCUGUGAACUCAUGGAAGGUCCCGGAGACUGUCACUGGAGUAAGAAGUUUCUUAGGGCUGGCUGGAUACUAUCGAAGAUUUAUUGAAGGGUUCUCUAAAAUUGCUACUCCACUAACUCAGCUGACCAAGAAGGAUCACCCGUUCGUCUGGACGGAGAAGUGUGAAUAGAGCUUCCAGACCUUGAAGGAGCGACUAACUAAAGCACCGGUGUUGACCUUACCAGAUCCCUCAAAGGACUAUGAUGUGUACUGUGACGCCUCGAAAUCUGGUUUGGGGUGCGUGCUAAUGCAGGAACGGAAGGUUAUAGCCUACGCCUCACAGCAACUACGACCUCACGAGCAAAACUACCCAACUCAUGACAUGGAGCUAGCAGCGGUGGUUUUCGCUUUGAAGAUCUGGAGACAUUAUCUGUAUGGUGUAAAAUUCACUAUAUACAGCGACCAUCAGAGCUUAAAAUACUUGUUUGAUCAGAAGACUCUCAACAUGAGACAACGCCGAUGGGUGGAAUUCCUUGAAGAUUAUGAUUUCAAGUUACAAUAUCACCCGGGAAAAGCUAAUGUGGUGGCUGAUGCGUUGAGUCGAAAGAGUUUACAUGCAGCAAGAUUGAUGAUUGAAGAAACAGAGUUGAUAGAGAAAUUCAGAGAUAUGAACCUCAUCAUGGAGACUUUACCACAGGGAACGAGACUUGGGACCCUGACUCUCACCAAUGAGUUCAUAGAAGAAGUUAAAAAGGAGCAAGCGCGAGAUGAGAAUUUACAGAAGGAAGCACAUGGGAGAGACAGCAUGAGCAGACCUGAUUUUCUCAAGGGUCCUGACGGUCUUUGGAGAUAUCAAGGGAGAUUAUGCGUUCCUGAAGGUGGAGAGCUAAGGCAAAAGAUUCUUGAAGAGGGACACAAGAGUGAUUUCAGCAUACAUCCCGGCACCACCAAGAUGUAUCAAGAUUUGAAGAAAAUGUUUUGGUGGCCCGGAAUGAAGAAGGAUAUCAUGAAGAAGGUGACGUCCUGUCUGACGUGUCAGAAAGUAAAAGGGGAGCAUCAGAAACCUUCUGGAAGCUUACAACCUCUGUCAAUACCUGAGUGGAAGUGGGAAGGAAUUUCCAUGGACUUUGUCUCAGGACUACCCAGGACUACUACUGGACAUGAUGCAAUUUGGGUAAUCGUGGAUCGCUUAACCAAGAGUGCACACUUCAUAGCAGUGAACAUGACCUUUCCAUCAGAGAAGUUAGCAAGAAUUUAUGUGAAGGAGAUCGUCAGGCUACAUGGAGUACCUGCUAAUAUUGUUUCUGAUCGAGAUCCCAGAUUUGUGUCAAAAUUUUGGGGAAGUUUACAUGAGGCAUUGGGGACUAGACUCAGUUUGAGUUCUGCUUACCAUCCUCAGUCAGACGGACAAUCUGAAAGGACAAUACAGACACUGGAAGAUAUGUUGCGAGCAUGUGUGCUAGACUACAAAGGCUCUUGGGAGGAUUUUCUACCGUUAGCGGAGUUCUCUUACAACAACAGCUAUCACUCUAGUUUGGGUAUGGCACCAUUCGAAGCUCUAUACGGAAGGAGGUGUAAAACCCCUUUGUGCUGGCUUAGUGGUGAGGACAAGAUCACACUCGGGCCUGAACUACUUCAAGAAAUGACAGAAAAAGUUAGAAGCAUCAGAGAGAAGUUGAGGAUUGCACAAGAUCGACAAAAAUCCUACUAUGAUAAACGUCACAAGCCACUUGAAUUUCAGGAAGGAGAUCAUGUCUUUUUGCGAGUCACACCUAUCACUGGAGUUGGAAGAUCCAUACACUCUAAGAAGCUCACUCCUAAAUAUCUUGGUCCUUAUCAAAUUCUUGACAGGAUUGGCGCAGUAGCAUAUCGCAUCGCCUUGCCUCCCUCAUUAUCAAACCUCCACGAUGUGUUCCACAUAUCUCAAUUAAGGAAAUACCUACCUGACUCUUCUCAUGUAAUCGAACCCGACAACAUCGAGCUUGAGGAGAAUCUCACCUACCCAACUCAACCAGUGAAGAUACUCGAAAGGAGAGAAAAACAACUUCGUAAGAGAACAGUUCCACUGGUGAAGCUAGCCUGGAGCGAUGAUAAUCAAGACGCAACUUGGGAGUUGGAAGAAAGCGCAAGGAAGCGGUACCCCUCACUAUUCGGUAAUCUCUUAAUGGAGAAUUUCGGGGACGAAAUUCUUAAAAGGAUGGGUAAAUGUAACAUCCCACCUUGAGACCUACUAGUUUAGGAAUAAUUAGAUAAUAGUUAGAAAUAAUUUUACAUAUAUUCAGAAUUUAUUUCUAAUAUUUCUAUGACAUAAGCCCUUAUUUUUGAGUUAGCAAUUUCUUUAAGGACUAAAGUUUGAAACAAGGAAGAACUUAAGGACUUUUAUUUGAAAAUUUCUAGAGUUCAAGGAGUGAAACGUGAAUGCAGCACCUAAUCCUAUUGUUCAACCUCACAUCACCAUACUUCUCUUCAUCAUAUUUUUGAACAUGGUGAUAUGCUUGCAUGAAAUUUUAAUGGCCAAACUCAUACUACAAGAUCAAAAACUCUAUUUUUAUGAUAUGAGUUCUAUUGUGGGAUAAAGCUUGACAUAUAAGCUUGGGCCCUCUAUCUAAAGAGGUGUUGGGUGGAAAUUUUUCCCACACAAUUCCUCUCCUACUCUAUCUGUUCCUCUCUCCCUCUCACACACUCUUUUCUUUCAUCUCUUAAAUUUCUCAAACCUGCAACUUGCUCUCCCUCUCUGCUCUUUGAUACCCACUUAACGAGAUCACCUCCACUGUGUUCGUGAGGAGGAGACGAAGCCAGUUCUGCCCUCCGCUCGCUCCACCGCCGCACACCGCCAUCUUCUCCGGCGAGCUUCGCCGGAGUUCGUCUUGGAAUUCGGUAAAAAGACCUUCUCCUGACUCUAAUCGAUGCUUUGAGUCCGAAUAUGAUGUUUAUUUUGCGAAAUUCAAAGCCUUUCCUAAUGAACAGAGAGCUUUUAUAAAAUUCGAAUUUUGCUCUCAUGCAUGUCCUUACCUUCAUGACCAAUGUAUUCUAAAUCAUUCUUUGCAUUACUGGACAUGUAUUGAUCAUGAAAUAGGUUCUAGAUUAUGGUUUUAUGCAGCUUGUGGGUACAGACCUGGAAAAGAGGGUGUGAUGAACAAGUUCAUCACCUCCCUUGCUCUUUUUCACGACAUGGAGAGGAGGAGCACGAACCAGAGGUUUAGAGCCUCUGGCAGCUCUAUUUUACAGCCCACUAAGGUCUUAAAAUCCUCUGUUGCUGGUUGAUUGUGUCAAUAGAUGAGUUAUUGAUAAUUAAUCAAACUUAAAAAUGCUUCAAUUUGACAUAAAAAUGAGUUAAGUUGCUGUAUUAAGAUGUGUGCAGGUUUGGACAGGUUUGGACCAGCAUUAAGAGACCUUAUUAUGGUCUGAGAACCCCUGACUUCAGAGAUUAAUUGGCUAAUCAUAUUCAGACCUUGAUGAUUGAUUUUUAUAUGACUUCAAAAAGGGCUUAAAUUGGUUUAACAUGGUUUAAUUUAGCAUUUUACGUUGUUAUGUGCUAAAGCUAGACAGAUUUGGAACAUGUUAAUGGACUCACAUUAGACUAUCAUAUUAAUGAAUAUAUGGUUUAAGUGCUUGUCUAUGUUAUGACCUUGAAACUUGACCUUUAAAAUCACUUAAAGAUAGCUUAAUUUGGACUUAAGUGAACUUAAAUUUGUGUGGUUAAUUUAAGUAUUGUGAAUUGUGUAUAUUGCAGGUCAGGAACAAUCCACUUCACUUCCUUUGGGUAAGGGGAGUUUACAGGCUACGAGGAUAUGAUGAUUAUAUGAUUCUCUGGCAGGAGGAUCGCGUUUAAUUAUAUUUAAUUAGCUGUUAAUUAUCAUUGCUAUUCGAUAUGGUUGUAACUUUAAUACAGGUGUUGUGUGUGAAUGCUGGAUACUUGUAUGGUUGAUUGAUGCAUUAGACAGGUGCAGGUUAUGGCUCAGAGAAAAGAAAUACAGGGGAAUGGGUCUUGGAGGCAUUAUGUGGCAGGAACCAUGGAAUAGUUAUUCAGUGAUCAACAGAUCUAUCUUUAGCUUUCAACAAGGAUUUUGCAUUUAGGAGAAAUUGAUUAGAAAAUAAUUAGGUGAUAAUGGCUUAGAGUAAUAAUAAAACCGUUUAUGCAUGAAGCUAUAUUUCUGUUGUUGAUCACUGAAUAACAGGUAUUCCAGGUGAUGGUUCGAUUACGAAUUCAGAAUGCCUCCAGGAUAACUACUCAAAUAUGAGUAACCGAACCUUGUGUGGUUCCAGGCAGGAUAAGGGGGAGAUGGUUGAACGAUGAUUGAAUAAUUUUCAUGCAUCAUAACAUGAGCAUGUAGGAUAAAGAGUAGGAACGUGCGGCAACUUCCACCUGAGACCCCGGAUGUGCACCCGGUGUGGAUGCCCGAGAUACCUGAGGUGGCACGUAAGACCAUGAGUGGCAGUGCA
rnacentral:lncRNA from 1 species